CAGUCGCCGCGGUAAUACGUAGGUGGCAAGCGUUGUCCGGAUUUACUGGGCGUAAAGGGCGUGUAGGCGGCCUGGGGCGUCCCAUGUGAAAGGCCACGGCUCAACCGUGGAGGAGCGUGGGAUACGCUCAGGCUAGAGGGUGGGAGAGGGUGGUGGAAUUCCCGGAGUAGCGGUGAAAUGCGCAGAUACCGGGAGGAACGCCGAUGGCGAAGGCAGCCACCUGGUCCACUUCUGACGCUGAGGCGCGAAAGCGUGGGGAGCAAACCGGAUUAGAUACCCGCGUAGUCCCUGUCUCUUAUAC
rnacentral:rRNA from 1 species